CUUCUCCCUUCUCUCUCUCUCUCUGAAAUACUCAUAGCACUCACAGGAAACACAAAAUCAGCCUAUAAUUCACUAUAAAAUUUAGUAAUGAAUCAUCAUAUCAACUUCAGCAUUAUACAGAAUAAUAUCCAGGAUGGUCCAUUUCCAAUUGAAACGUAUCUAAUCUCUGCUCAUUCAGUGCCCAGGUUCAAACAUUACACCAUACAAAGAUUAG
rnacentral:misc_RNA from 1 species